rnacentral:lncRNA from 10 species
CAAUUCUCCUGCCUCAGGCUCCCAAAGUGCUGGGAUUAUAGGCAGCCACCGCACCAGGAGAGGCUGGAUCUUAUAGACAUCCUGGCCCCUGUGUGCAAGUCCACUGGGUCCAGAAGUGAGGAGGGGGCUGCACAGAUGUGUGGAGACCCUGGCCCAGGAGGGCCUCUCUGGGAGAACGUGCAAUAGGGCAAAGCGCUGGCAGCUGGGACAGAAAGCUGCAGGGCUGGGACCUCCGGCCUCCAUCCAAAGCCCUACGUCUGUGACCCUCGACGACAGUCCCUGUCCAUCUGUACCUGGCCCUCUGUCGGGACUUCCUCUGUGUCUCUGAAGACCCCCGUCUCUCCCUGCCUGCUCCGUGCCCUCCUCCU